rnacentral:lncRNA from 1 species
GGGGAUCCCAAAAAUUGAGGGGAGGGCCCAGGAUGCUUGUGGGGGGUCCCUGGAGGAUUUUGGGGGUCCCUGGAGGAUUUUGGGGGUCCCAGUGGUUUUUGGGGGUCCCAGUGGUUUUUGGGCUCCCCAUUCAGGAGGUGUCCCGGGGUUUUGGGGGUCUCGAGUUUUGGGGUCCCCAUUUGGGGGUGUCCCAGGGUUGUGGGGUCCCAGCGGUUUUUGGGGUCUCAGGGUUUUUGGGGUCCCCAUUUGGGGUCCCAGUGGUUUUUGGGGUCCCCAUUUGGGGUCCCAGUGGUUUUUGGGGUCCCGGGGUUUUGGGGUCCCCAUUUGGGGUCCCAAGGUUUUGGGGAUCCCAGGGUUUUGGGGUCCCGGUGGUUUUUUGGGUCCUGGUGGUUUUGGGGCGUCCCAAGGUUUUGGGGUCCCCAUUCAGGGGAUGUCCCGGGGUUUUGGGGUCCCCAUUUGGGAAUGUCCCAGGGUUUUGGGGUCCCGAGGUUUUGGGGUCCCAGUGGUUUCAGGGUGUCCCAGGCUUUUGGGGUCCCCAUUUGGGGGUGUCCUGGGAUUUUGUGGGUUCCAGUGGUUUUGGGGGUUCUGGGGUUUUGGGGGUCCCGGGGUUUUGGGGUCCCAGUGGUUUUUGGGGUCCCAAGGUUUUGAGGUCCCCAUCAGGAGGAGUCAAGGGGUUUUGGGGUCCCCAUUUUGGGGAUCCCAAGAUCUUGGGGAUCCUGGGGUUUUAGGUUGCCAGUGGUUUUGGGGUCCCAGGUGGGUUUUGGGGAUCCUGGGGUUUUGGGGUCCCCAUUCAGGGGGUGUCCCAGCCUUUUGGGGUCCCAGCAGUUUUUGGGGUCCCAAGGUUUUGGGGUCGCAGUGGUUGUUGGGGUCCUGGGUUUUGGGGUCCCAUCCAGCUGGGUUUUGGGAUCCCAGUGGUUUUGGGGUCACAGUGAUUUUGGGGCUCUGGGGUUUUGGGGUCCCAGUGGUUUGGGACCCACCCAGGCGGGUUUUGGGGUCCCACCCAGGUCGUUUUGGGGUUCUGGGGUUUUGGGGUCCCACCCAGGUGGUUUUGGGGGUCCCAGCGGUUUUGGGGUCCCAUCUAGGUGGGUUUUGGGGUUCUGGGGUUUUGGGGUCCCAGCCAGGUGUUUUUGGGGGGGGUCCCACCCAGGCGGGUUUUGGGGUCCCAGCGGUUUUGGGGUCCCACCCAGGUGUUUUUGGGGUCCCAGUGUUUUGGGGGUCCCAGUGUUUUUGGGGUCCCCCCCAGGUGUUUUGGGGUCCCAGUUUCGGGGGCUCAGCAGCGCCCGGCCUUGGCGUCGCCGAUGGCGCCCCAGACGUCGAACACGAACUCGUCGGGGAAGGCGAAGUCGCCGAGCUGAGCGUCCAGAGCCUCGGCCAGAGCGUCGGGGUCACGCGCGUCGCGGCCCAGCUCCACCAUGGUGGCCGCUGUGGGGACAUCGGGGACAUUGGGGACAUCGGGGACAUUGGGGACAUCGGGGACAUUGGGGACAUUGGGGACAUCGGGGACAUUGGGGACAAUGGGGACAUUGGGGACAUCGGGG